rnacentral:rRNA from 1 species
GCAGUCGAGCGGUAAGGCCCUUCGGGGUACACGAGCGGCGAACGGGUGAGUAACACGUGGGUGAUCUGCCUCGCACUCUGGGAUAAGCCUGGGAAACUGGGUCUAAUACCGGAUAUGACUUUCGGAUGCAUGUUCGAGGGUGGAAAGAUUUAUCGGUGCGAGAUGGGCCCGCGGCCUAUCAGCUUGUUGGUGGGGUAACGGCCCACCAAGGCGACGACGGGUAGCCGACCUGAGAGGGUGACCGGCCACACUGGGACUGAGACACGGCCCAGACUCCUACGGGAGGCAGCAGUGGGGAAUAUUGCACAAUGGGCGAAAGCCUGAUGCAGCGACGCCGCGUGGGGGAUGACGGCCUUCGGGUUGUAAACCCCUUUUGACAGGGACGAAGCGCAAGUGACGGUACCUGUAGAAGAAGCACCGGCCAACUACGUGCCAGCAGCCGCGGUAAUACGUAGGGUGCGAGCGUUGUCCGGAAUUACUGGGCGUAAAGAGCUUGUAGGCGGUCUGUCACGUCUUCUGUGAAAACUUGGGGCUCAACCUUAAGCUUGCAGGGGAUACGGGCAGACUAGAGUACUUCAGGGGAGACUGGAAUUCCUGGUGUAGCGGUGAAAUGCGCAGAUAUCAGGAGGAACACCGGUGGCGAAGGCGGGUCUCUGGGAAGUAACUGACGCUGAGAAGCGAAAGCAUGGGUAGCAAACAGGAUUAGAUACCCUGGUAGUCCAUGCCGUAAACGGUGGGUACUAGGUGUGGGUUUCCUUCCACGGGAUCCGUGCCGUAGCUAACGCAUUAAGUACCCCGCCUGGGGAGUACGGCCGCAA